rnacentral:lncRNA from 1 species
CUCUUUUGUUUUUGUUUUUGUUUUUCCUUUCCUUCACUGAGCCGAGGGCCGAUUGGAAACAGCCUCUCUGCCCUUUCGGGUUGGGGUAAGGCCCGUCUAUAUAUUACCCUCCCCAGACCCCAUUUUGUCGGAUUAUACUAGGUAGUUGUUGUUGUUGCUACAGUAUGUGUUCAGUUGAAAACAGUUCUAAAGCUGAUUCUACUUUCCUGUACCCGUUUUCCAGUGCCACCACUUGCUGCCCACUAAGAUGAAGUGGGAGAUGUUUUCUAAGCAGAUCUUUUAGAGAAUAUAAUAGAGUGCUGAGGAAUUUGAAAGGAGUCUUGAUGCAUAUUCCUAUGAUCUUUGUUUGCUUUUAUGCUGUAGGUUUUAAUUUUAAGUGAAAAGCUUCACUCUGUCACGUCACAGUUUGACCAGUUGCGGGCAAUACGCUUUCAAGAUGCUAUUAACCGAGUAACACCAAGAAGGAAACGGAAGAACUCUACCAAAUUAAAUGCUGUGGAGACCUCUGUGUCUAGUAGUUUGGACCCCAACAUGAAAAGGGACUCAGAGAUCAGGGACUCUGAUAUUUCACAAGCAGCACCUGUUAGAGACCUCUGUAUCUAGUAGUUUGGACCCCGACAUGAAAAGGGACUCAGAGAUCAGUGACUCUGGUCUUUCACAAGCAGCACCUGUUAGAGUCCAAGAACAACUUUUAGAUGAUGAAACACGUGCCCUCCAGGUAAGUGGGAAGUUUGCUGCUAGAGGAUUUAGUUCCGGAAAACAAGCAACAUGUGGAGGCUAAAAUCACAAUGUACGUUCCUGUACUCUUACCUUUACUCACAUGAUGCAG